CGACAUAUAAACCGCUUGGAAAACUCUGCUUAUCAUUUUUUUGGGCAUUUUAAUAAAAAGUUAUUACUACAUUUUUUGAAGGAAAGAAGUCAAACUUGGAACACCAGCCAGAAGGUACGACUAUUAUUAGGACAAAGCGGGGAAGUUCAGUUGGAAAAUUAUAACUUUUCCUUGGAACAUUGUUUAGAUCAACCUCCCAAAGUUGUGGUUGACCAAGAAAUUAUUAACAGCAGAGACAUUAUUUCACGCCACAAAACGACAAAGAGAACAAUUUACGAAAACGCGCGUGAGAGAAAUGGCGUUGGAAAAAAGGGUAUUUUUGAUGUAAUUUUGCAUAAUGAGAGAGGAGAAGUCACAGAAACAACCAGUGCAAACAUUGCUAUCCGUUCGUUUGCUGGGCUUUUACUUGGCGUAAUGCGCUCGGAACUUUUGGAAACCCAACUUCUGGGCCCCAUACACGAACAAGUUAUCCUAUUGGACGAAUUUAUUGAAG